AUUGAACGCUGGCGGCAUGCUUUACACAUGCAAGUCGAACGGUAACAGGCCGCAAGGUGCUGACGAGUGGCGCACGGGUGAGUAAUGCAUCGGAACGUGCCCAGUCGUGGGGGAUAACUACUCGAAAGAGUAGCUAAUACCGCAUACGAUCUAUGGAUGAAAGCGGGGGACCGUAAGGCCUCGCGCGAUUGGAGCGGCCGAUGUCAGAUUAGGUAGUUGGUGGGGUAAAGGCUCACCAAGCCGACGAUCUGUAGCUGGUCUGAGAGGACGACCAGCCACACUGGGACUGAGACACGGCCCAGACUCCUACGGGAGGCAGCAGUGGGGAAUUUUGGACAAAGGGCGCAAGCCUGAUCCAGCAAUGCCGCGUGCAGGAAGAAGGCCUUCGGGUUGUAAACUGCUUUUGUACGGAACGAAACGGCUCUGGUUAAUACCCGGGGCUAAUGACGGUACCGUAAGAAUAAGCACCGGCUAACUACGUG
rnacentral:rRNA from 1 species